AUUGAACGCUGGCGGCAGGCCUAACACAUGCAAGUCGAGCGAGCGGCGGACGGGUGAGUAAUGUAUGGGGACUGCCCGAUAGAGGGGGAUAACUACUGGAAACGGUGGCUAAUACCGCAUCAUGUCGGAUAACCCAUAUGGGAUUAGCUAGUAGGUAAGGUAAUGGCUUACCUAGGCGACGAUCCCUAGCUGGUCUGAGAGGAUGAUCAGCAACACUGGGACUAAGACACGGCCCAGAAUCCUACGGAGGCAGUAGUGGGUAAUAUUGCACAAUGGGCGCAAGCCUGAUGCAGCCAUGCCGCGUGUAUGAAGAAGGCCCUAGGGUUGAAAAGUAUUUUCAGUCGGGAGGAGUGACCGACAGAAGAAGCACCGGCUAACUCCGUGCCAGCCCCGCGGUAAUUC
rnacentral:rRNA from 1 species